AUCACCGCUCCAUCAUCUGGGCAUCGAGCUGGUAAAAAUAAAUCUUCCUGCUCAGCGAUAAUGUCCUGCAGGCCUAGCGUAAACUCAUGGCAAAUUGCGCCGUCAGAUAGCUGGCGAGUUCACGGAUUAUCGCUGUUUUU
rnacentral:sRNA from 1 species